GUAGUCCACACGGUAAACGAUGAGUGCUAGCUGUUCGAGGGUUUCCGCCCUUGAGUGGCGUAGCUAACGCAUUAAGCACUCCGCCUGGGGAGUACGACCGCAAGGUUGAAACUCAAAGGAAUCGACGGGGACCCGCACAAGCGGUGGAGCAUGUGGUUUAAUUCGAAGCAACGCGAAGAACCUUACCAGGUCUUGACAUCCUUUGACCACUCCAGAGAUGGAGCUUUCCCUUCGGGGACAAAGUGACAGGUGGUGCAUGGUUGUCGUCAGCUCGUGUCGUGAGAUGUUGGGUUAAGUCCCGCAACGAGCGCAACCCUUAUUGUUAGUUGCCAGCAUUCAGUUGGGCACUCUAGCGAGACUGCCGGUGACAAACCGGAGGAAGGCGGGGAUGACGUCAAAUCAUCAUGCCCCUUAUGACCUGGGCUACACACGUGCUACAAUGGCAUAUACAACGAGUCGCCAACCCGCGAGGGUGCGCUAAUCUCUUAAAGUAUGUCUCAGUUCGGACUGUAGGCUGCAACUCGCCUACACGAAGUCGGAAUCGCUAGUAAUCGCGGAUCAGCACGCCGCGGUGAAUACGUUCCCGGGUCUUGUACACACCGCCCGUCACACCAUGAGAGUUUGUAACACCCAAAGUCGGUGGGGUAACCU
rnacentral:rRNA from 1 species